rnacentral:rRNA from 1 species
UAUCUCUGUAGAGUCUGCAUAUCAAUAAGCGGAGGAAAAGAAACUAACUAGGAUUCCCUCAGUAACGGCGAGUGAAGCGGGAAGAGCUCAAAUUUGAAAUCUUCAAGGGUUCUACCUUGACGAAUUGUAGUUUAAAGAAGUGUUUUCUGUUAGAGAGUUUGGUAAAAGUUCUUUGGAAUAGGACAUCAUAGAGGGUGAGAAUCCCGUAUUUGACCGUUACUUUCCAGCUGUGUGAUACACUUUCAAAGAGUCGGAUUGUUUGGGAAUGCAGUCCAAAAUGGGUGGUAAAUUUCAUCUAAAGCUAAAUAUUGGCGAGAGACCGAUAGCGAACAAGUACCGUGAGGGAAAGAUGAAAAGAACUUUGAAAAGAGAGUUAAACAGUACGUGAAAUUGUCAAAAGGGAAGCGUUUGACACCAGUGUUGUUUAGUUGAAAAUCAAUUAAAUAGUUUUCGAUUUUAAGUAGUAUUGACCUUAUCAGCUUGCUGCUUUCUUCUCGGAAAUUAUUUAAUGCACUUUUCAGUUAACAAGUCAACAUCAAUUUCUUUUGUUGUAAAAAGGUAAGAGGAAGGUGGCUUGCGCUUCGGCUCAAGUGUUUAUAGCCUUUUACUUCUGCAAUCGGAGAGAUUGAGGUCUGCAGCGUAGAUCCUUCGGGGUUAGAUACAUUUGUGCUAAGCUAUAGCCUUGUAUAGACAACUUGUUGACUAUGCUCAGUCAUGUAGCUUACUCGCUUAUGCUAUUUUACCUACGCUUAGGAUGUUGAGUAGCGACAUACGCAC